rnacentral:rRNA from 1 species
GACGAACGCUGGCGGCGUGCUUAACACAUGCAAGUCGAGCGGUAAGGCCCUUUCGGGGGUACACGAGCGGCGAACGGGUGAGUAACACGUGGGUGACCUGCCCUCAGCUCUGGGAUAAGCCUGGGAAACCGGGUCUAAUACUGGAUAUGACUCCAUGACGCAUGUUGUGGGGUGGAAAGCCUUGUGCGGCUGAGGAUGGGCCCGCGGCCUAUCAGCUUGUUGGUGGGGUGAUGGCCUACCAAGGCGACGACGGGUAGCCGGCCUGAGAGGGCGACCGGCCACACUGGGACUGAGACACGGCCCAGACUCCUACGGGAGGCAGCAGUGGGGAAUCUUGCGCAAUGGGCGAAAGCCUGACGCAGCGACGCCGCGUGAGGGAUGACGGCCUGGUGUAAG